rnacentral:lncRNA from 1 species
AGCGCUCUGACCUUAGACCAAGCAAUUAAACACCAAUAAAAAAGAAAAAAAAAUAGUGAAUAAAAUAGAAGGGUGUGGACAUUCUUUGGGACCUUGGCUUUUAGUGGGACUUGAGUGACGGGGUGUUAGUGUUAAACUUUUACGAUUCUUGAUGGGGAUUCUGUGGAAGUAGUAGUUUUUGUCUUGUCUCAAUAAAAGAGCAUGCUUGCACACACUGGCACUCCACACUUGUAAAUAGAAGAGUAAUUGACUUAGUAGCGAGAGAGAUGAAAUUCGAGAACAUUAGCACAAUCUGAGAUAUUAUAAUUGACAAGGCAAUUACUUCAUAGUUCACUCAUUCAUCACGUAGUUGCAUUCAUGCAUUGCAUUGUAUUAUUGUAUAGUGUCGUUGACGCUUGAGGACAAGCAUCAGUUUAAGUUUGGGG